GACGAACGCUGGCGGCGUGCCUAAUACAUGCAAGUCGAGCGAAGUUUUUCUGGUGCUUGCACUAGAAAAACUUAGCGGCGAACGGGUGAGUAACACGUAAAGAACCUGCCUCAUAGACUGGGACAACUAUUGGAAACGGUAGCUAAUACCGGAUAACAGUAUUUCUCGCAUGAGAGAUAUUUAAAAGUUGGUUAUGCUAACACUAUGAGAUGGCUUUGCGGUGCAUUAGCUAGUUGGUGGGGUAAAGGCCCACCAAGGCGACGAUGCAUAGCCGACCUGAGAGGGUGAUCGGCCACACUGGGACUGAGACACGGCCCAGACUCCUACGGGAGGCAGCAGUAGGGAAUCUUCCGCAAUGGGCGAAAGCCUGACGGAGCAACGCCGCGUGAGUGAAGAAGGAUUUCGGUUCGUAAAGCUCUGUUGUUAGGGAAGAAUGGAUAUGUAGUAACUAUACAUGUAAGAGACGGUACCUAACCAGAAAGCCACGGCUAACUACGUG
rnacentral:rRNA from 1 species